CUAUACAUGCAGUCGAACGCUUUUGUUUCACCGGGUGCUUGCACCCCANCGANNACAAAAGAGUGGCGGACGGGUGAGUAACACGUGGGUAACCUGCCCAUAAGAGGGGGAUAACAUCCGGAAACGGAUGCUAAUACCGCAUAUUUCCAAUUGUCUCCUGACAGAUGGAAAAAAGGUGGCUUCGGCUACCGCUUAUGGAUGGACCCGCGGCGUAUUAGCUAGUUGGUGAGGUAAUGGCUCACCAAGGCGAUGAUACGUAGCCGACCUGAGAGGGUGAUCGGCCACACUGGGACUGAGACACGGCCCAGACUCCUACGGGAGGCAGCAGUAGGGAAUCUUCCGCAAUGGACGAAAGUCUGACGGAGCAAUGCCGCGUGAGUGAAGAAGGUUUUCGGAUCGUAAAACUCUGUUGUUAGAGAAGAACAAGGAUGAGAGUAACUGCUCAUCCCCUGACGGUAUCUAACCAGAAAGCCACGGCUAACUACGUGCCAGCAGCCGCGGUAAUACGUAG
rnacentral:rRNA from 1 species